rnacentral:rRNA from 15 species
UUUACGGCGGCCAUAGCGGCAGGGAAACGCCCGGUCCCAUUCCGAACCCGGAAGCUAAGCCUGCCAGCGCCGAUGGUACUGCACUCGUGAGGGUGUGGGAGAGUAGGUCACCGCCGAACAC